ACCUCAGGUCAAGCAGGAUUAGCCACUAAGUUUAAGCAAAUCGAUAAGUGGAGAAAUAAAAACUUACGAGGAAUCCCCUAGUAAUGGCAAGAAAAUUAAUAAGAGCCCAACUUGAGAAUCCUGCACCCCUGGCAUCUGAAUUGUAGAUGAAGAAGUGUCCUUAGUGGCAAACCAAGCCUAAGUCCCUAAAAAAGGGGCACUAGACAGGGUGACAGCCCCACUGUGCCUGGACCCUAUCGCAUGAUGAGGCAUUAUCUAUGAGUCAGGUUGUUUGGCAAUGCAGCCCUAAUCGAGUGGUAAAUCUCAUCUAAGGCUAAAUACUGGUGAGAGAUCGAUAGUGAACAAGUACAUCAAAGGAAAGAUGAAAAAGACUUUGAAAAAAAAGUCAAAGAGAGCUUGAAAUUGUUGGAAAGAAAGUGGAUAGAGAUUGGUGAUGUGACCUAGUAAGAUGUGGAAUGGUAAGAGCCAAUCUGUCAAUCAACUCAAGGCAUGGGCCAAUGCAAGUCAUGGUGAUGGCCCAAGCCCAGGCUUUUGAUAUGCCUAUGGAGACAUUGUCACCAUGAUCAUGGAAUGUAGCAUGCGCUGUCUUGAUAUGCCUCGACAUCCAUAUGCUCUUGACGUCAGCUUGUGAGCUCUCUAUCCAGACUAAGGAGUCUAACAUGUAUACGAGUCAAUGGGCUAGAAAACUCAUAAGAGGCAAUGAAUCUUAUUGGUGGGAUCUCUCAUGGGUUUACUAUUGACCAACCUAGAUCUUUUAAGAAGGGUUUGAGUGUGAGCAUGCCUGUCGAAACCUAAAAGCUAGUAUAUUAUGCAUAAGUAGGGCGAAGCCAAAGGAAACUUUAGUAGGGCUUACAUUGAUAUUGACGUGUAAAACAUUCAUCUAACUUAGGUAUAGGGGCAAAAGACUAAUCAAACCAUCUAGUAGUUGGUUCCCUCCAAAGUUUCCCUGAGUAUAGUUGGAACCUUUAAUGAGUUCUAUUAGGUAAAGCCAAUGAUUAGAGGCAUUAGGGGUACAAUGCCCUUAACCUAUUCUCGAACUUUAAAUAGGUAGGACAGCAUGGCUGUUUUGUUAAGCCUCUCUAUAGAAUUGAGACAUCCAAAUGGGCCAUUUUUGGUGAGCAAAAUUGACAAUGUGAGAUGAACCAAAAGUUGGGUUAUGAUGCCCUACUGUGUGCUUACCUAUAACCCACAAAGGGUAUUAGUUGAUUAAAAUAGUAGGACAGUGGUAAUGGAAGUUAAAAUCCAUUAAAAUGUGUGUAACAACUCACCUACCAAAUUAACUAGCCCCGAAAAUGGAUGGCACUUAAGCAUGUGUCCUAUACCCGAUUGUUGAGGUAGGGCUAGGCCUUGAUGAGUAAGAGGGCACAAUGGUUGGCAUAAAACCUGAGAUGCAAGCUCAGACAAAGCAGCCAUAUUAAAUCUUGGUGGUAGUAGCAAAUAUUAAAAUGAAAACUUUGAAUGCUAAAGAGGGGAAAAGUUCUAUGUGAAUAACAUUUACACAUGGGUUAGUCAAUCUUAAUAGAUGAGGGAAGUCCAUCUAAUAGCGCAUUUAGCAUGAGCUUCAAAAGGGAAUCAGGUUAAAAUUCUUGAACCAAGAUGCAACGAUUGAUAGCAAGGUUAAGGAGUUCAAACACAUUAGCGAGGGUCUAGGGAAAAGUUAUCUUCUGUAUUUAAUAGCCUACCCACCAUUAAAAUAGCUCAGUCGGAGGUAGGGUCCAGUAGCUAAAAGAGCAUCGCAUGUUACAUGGUGUCUAGUGUUUCCCCGAUGAUGCUUGAAAAUCUAGAAGACCAAGUGCCGUUUAUGCCCAAUUGUACUCAUAGCAGCAUCUAGUCUCUAAGGUGAAUAGCCUCUAGUUGAUGGAAUAAUGUAGGCAAACAAAGUCAGCAAAAUGGAUCCAUAACCCCAAGAAAAGGAUUAGCUCUAAGGCCUAGGCAUAGGGGUCCUAGUCUUAAACCCAUUAGCUGUCAGUGCACUAUUUGAGUUACUCCCAUAGAAAGAGUGGGUCACCAUGUACUGGUCGAGGGAUGGACUAGGAGUGACUCCCUUGAGGGCCUUCCUAGGGUGAUGAGUAGUCAACUUAGAACUAGUACAAACAAAGGGAAUCUACCUAUUUAAUUAAAACAAAGUAUUGUAAUGGUCCCUACAGAUGCUCAUGCAAUGUGAUUUCUGCCCAGUGCACUAAAUGUCAAAGUGAAGAAAUUCAACCAAGCACGGGCAAACGAUAAGAGUGACUAUGACUCUCUUAAGGUAGCCAAAUACCUCAUCAUGUAAUUAAUGAUGAACAGGAAUGGAUUCCCAUUGCCCCUGUCUACUCUUUAGUUAAAGCACAAUCAAGCAAAUGGGCUUGGCAAAAUAACCAGGGAAAUAAGACCCUAUUGAGCUUAACUCUAGUCCAAUUUUGUGAAAUGACUUGAAAAGUGUAGGAUAUAUGGGAGACCUUGGGCAAAAUUGAAAUAUCACUACUUUUAAUGUUAUUUUACUUAAUUCAUGAAUCGGAAGAGGGGCAUGACCCUUUUUUUUUAAACCAAGGCUGGCCUCGAUCGAUUAAUCUAAGCAAAAGACAUUGUCAGGUAAAGAGUUUGGCUGGAGCAACACAUCUAUUAAAAGACAACACAUGUGUCCUUAGAUGAUCUCAACGAGAAUAAAAAUAUCAUGUGGAACAAAAAGGUAAAAGCUCAUUUGAUUCUAAUUUCUAGUACGAAUAAGAAUCAUGAAAGUGUGGUCUAUCGAUCCUGUAGACCUUCAAAAUUUAAACUAGAGGUGUUAGAAAAGUUACAAUAGGGAUAACUGGUUUGUGGCAAUGAAGUUCAUAGCGACAUUACUUUUUGAUCCUUCGAUGUUGGCUCUUCCUAUCAUUGUGAAGCAGAAUUCACCAAGUGUUAAAUUGUUCACCCAUCAAUAGGGAACCUAAGUUGGGUUUCGAUCAUUGUGAGAUAGGUUAGUUUUACCCUACUGAUGGUAGCAUUGCAAUAGUAAUUGAACCUAGUAUGAGAGGAAUCAUUGAUUCACAUAAUUGGUCAUGCACUUGGUUAAGAAGCUAAUGGUGUAAAGCUACCAUAUGCUGGACUGUGGCUGGAUGCCUUUAAGUCAAAAUCUGAGCUAAAAGUAAUGCAUGAGCUUGUCACCCUAUUCCAACCUACAAGAGGGGCCUACAGUCCCCAAAGGCAUGUGUUGUAGGUGUAGCCCCCAUAGCGGACAAGGCAUGCAGGCCUUUUUGGAGCUAAAUUCCUAUCU
rnacentral:rRNA from 1 species